rnacentral:rRNA from 1 species
GAUGAACGCUGGCGGCGUGCUUGACACAUGCAAGUCGAACGGUGAAGGCGGAGCUUGCUCUGCUGGAUUAGUGGCGAACGGGUGAGUAACACGUGAGCAAUCUGCCCCUGACUCUGGGAUAAGCGCUGGAAACGGCGUCUAAUACUGGAUACGAGCUGCGAAGGCAUCUUCAGCAGCUGGAAAGAACUUCGGUCAGGGAUGAGCUCGCGGCCUAUCAGCUUGUUGGUGAGGUAACGGCUCACCAAGGCGUCGACGGGUAGCCGGCCUGAGAGGGUGACCGGCCACACUGGGACUGAGACACGGCCCAGACUCCUACGGGAGGCAGCAGUGGGGAAUAUUGCACAAUGGGCGAAAGCCUGAUGCAGCAACGCCGCGUGAGGGACGACGGCCUUCGGGUUGUAAACCUCUUUUAGCAGGGAAGAAGCGAAAGUGACGGUACCUGCAGAAAAAGCGCCGGCUAACUACGUG